rnacentral:rRNA from 1 species
UACGUAGGUGGCAAGCGUUGUCCGGAUUUACUGGGCGUAAAGAGCGCGCAGGCGGUCGUUCAAGUCGCGUGUGAAAGCCCCCGGCUCAACUGGGGAGGGUCACGCGAUACUGAUCGACUCGAAGGCAGGAGAGGGAAGUGGAAUUCCCGGUGUAGUGGUGAAAUGCGUAGAUAUCGGGAGGAACACCAGUGGCGAAGGCGACUUCCUGGCCUGUUCUUGACGCUGAGGCGCGAA